rnacentral:rRNA from 1 species
GAUGAACGCUGGCGGCGUGCCUAAUACAUGCAAGUCGAGCGAAUGGAUUAAGAGCUUGCUCUUAUGAAGUUAGCGGCGGACGGGUGAGUAACACGUGGGUAACCUGCCCAUAAGACUGGGAUAACUCCGGGAAACCGGGGCUAAUACCGGAUAACACUUUGAACCGCAUGGUUCGAAAUUGAAAGGCGGCUUCGGCUGUCACUUAUGGAUGGACCCGCGUCGCAUUUGCUAGUUGGUGAGGUAACGGCUCACCAAGGCAACGAUGCGUAGCCGACCUGGGAGGGUGAUCGGCCACACUGGGACUGAGACACGGCCCAGACUCCUACGGGAGGCAGCAGUAGGGAAUCUUCCGCAAUGGACGAAAGUCUGACGGAGCAACGCCGCGUGAGUGAUGAAGGCUUUCGGGUCGUAAAACUCUGUUGUUAGGGAAGAACAAGUGCUAGUUGAAUAAGCUGGCACCUUGACGGUACCUAACCAGAAAGCCACGGCUAACUACGUGCCAGCAGCCGCCGUAA